CAGGGACCAGGCAGUGUAUCUGUUUGCUGCCAGUCAACCAGUGAAGCAGGGGUACUGCAACUCUGUGACAAAAUCACAUUUUGGGAGGCUGCCAAGGAGGCACUAUCUGGCACCUGACUGACCUGGCCCUCUAUGUGAAGAUACUGUAGGCAAGAUGUCUAUCUGACAGGGGGAGGAACAUCCUAGCAAGAUGUCUAUCUGACAGGGGGAGGAACAGCCUGGCAGGAUGUCUAUCUGACAGGGGGAGGAACAGCCUAGCAAGAUGUCUAUCUGACAGGGGGAGGAACAGCCUAGCAAGAUGUCUAUCUGACAGGGGGAGGAACAGCCUAGCAAGAUGUCUAUCUGACAGGGGGAGGAACAGCCUGGCAGGAUGUCUAUCUGACAGGGGGAGGAACAGCCUAGCAAGAUGUCUAUCUGACAGGGGGAGGAACAGCCUGGCAGGAUGUCUAUCUCACAGGGGGAGGAAGAGCCUAGCAGGAUGUCUAUCUGACAGGGGGAGGAACAGCCUGGCAGGAUGUCUAUCUGACAGGGGGAGGAACAGCCCAGCAGGAUGUCUAUCUGACAGGAUGAGGAACAGCCUGGCAGGAUGUCUAUCUGACAGGGGGAGGAACAGCCUAGCAAGAUGUCUAUCCGACAGGGGGAGGAACAGCCUGGCAGGAUGUCUAUCCGACAGGGGGAGGCACAGCCCAGACAUUAUAGCAGUUUUCAAGAGGAUGUGGUGAUGAAUUCAUUUCUCUCUCUCUACCCUGCUGUAGAAGGCAGCUGGUACUUUCAGUACAGUGUAGAAAGAUGUCUCCGACAACAUGUUGUCUAGGCCUUUUCUUCAUCUUAUUUCCAUGUCAUGUAAAGUGUGUUGCGUUUCGUCAGUCUCCGUCCCUGACAGUGAAGGACGGGCGCGGGGCGGAGAUCCACUGUAGCCAUGAUGACAAUAACCUGUUGGUGAUGUUGUGGUACCGACAGAGACAGGCCAGUAUGACUCUGAUCGGGUACAGUUACGGCACCACUGAGCCUAACUACGAGGGUUUGUUUGAGGAGAGGUUCAGGCAGAAGAGAGAGGGAAACCUGAAGGGAACUCUCGUCAUCUCCAAACUAACGUUAGCAGACUCUGCUGUGUACUUCUGCGCAGCCAGUCGCACAGUGCUGUGGCUUUACGUCAGCCUCUCACCAAAAACCUGACACACACACACAGGAAAUCCAACGCAGGCUGCCGCUCCGGCUUUUCAAACGGUCUUAUAUGACAUCUGGUGGUUUUAUGUUAAGGAGUCCGCUUGUUUCAGUUCAGAAGAGUUUGUUUGUAUUACGAUGACAUUUUGUGAAGUUUUUGUUCAUGUUAUUUUCGGCUGAUCGGGCACAAAAUGUCAGGAGCCGAAGUCUAUGCCCUUUUUUCGGUGAUUGGUCAAAAGUCGAGAUUCUUCAUCAAAGAUUUUGUUUUCAAUGAGAGAUAACUCGUCGUCGUUUAGAAAUACAGCACCACACAUCUUAGUUAAAUGUAAAAUUGCGAGACUAAAAUCUCCUCUGUACAAAUGUCAAAAUAAAUGACAGAUGUAUUGAGUUGUCUUAGAUUAAUUCUGACUAUUUUGAGGAAGUGUAUACUGGCUACGGCGUAUCAAGAUGGACCAACAGUACUAUUUGUCACUUUUUUCUCGUUUUUUCAAGUGAAGGUCUUCACAGAGUAUGCGAGCAAACUGAAGCAUGCUGACACAAUUAGUGACCUUGAGGG